rnacentral:lncRNA from 1 species
UCCAGGGUCAACUCCAUAAGUAGCUUGCUAUGCUUUAGCUAUUUUCUCAGGUCCCUGUAAUGCCUUUCUAUGUGUCAUAUUUUCAGAGCUCUGCCCUUUGCUUUCCAAGAUGACAGCCUUGGUCCAUUCUAUCUAGCUGAGCAGGAAGCUCCAGAACAUUUUACAUUAGUCCAAGGAGGUAAAAUGGAUGGAACAUCAGACACCUCAUUAUAGAGACAAGCUAGCUCCAAUUCCAAAGUUGGUUGACAGAACAAGUCAUGGUGAGUAUUGUAAUUUUAGUGCUACUGUAUAUCUGCAAGCUGUCUGUGGGUAAAAUGCUUACUAAGCACUGCAUUGGGGCUGUCAGAAUGCUCAUGGGUUGGUAAUUAAAUAAAGACAGUGCUAUGGUUUUGUGGAGCUAAGCCAGUAUUUGUGCACUCUAGAAUAAUCUCUUCUAGGAAGCUUUUACUUUGGAAUUUAAGUUUUGGAGGAAGUACAUUUUACUUUCAUUGAGUAAACUUUCACUAAAAGCACACUUUCUAGGGCCUUUACUGAAAACAUUCAUUUCUGUUUUUCUGUGAUAAGUCAAUGCUCAAUUCACCUAGCAAAGAAGUCAAUUGUCAGCAGUGCUGGCCUUUACAGUUAGUUUUUCCCUCUCUCAAGUUGUAUCGUCAAUUACUAUUUUUAAAACACUCAACAAAAGAUUUGAAAGUAAAUAGAAAGACCUAAAAUAGAGCUGCCGG